rnacentral:rRNA from 1 species
AUUGAACGCUGGCGGCGUGCUUUACACAUGCAAGUCGAGCGGCAGCACGGACUUCGGUCUGGUGGCGAGCGGCGAACGGGUGAGUAAUACAUCGGAACGUACCUUUUAGUUGGGGAUAACGCAUCGAAAGAUGUGCUAAUACCGAAUAAUCUCUGAGGAGGAAAGGCGGGGAUCGGAAACGACCUGUCGCUGAAAGAGCGGCCGAUGGCCGAUUAGCUAGUUGGCGGGGUAAAAGCCCACCAAGGCGAUGAUCGGUAGCUGUUCUGAGAGGAAGAUCAGCCACACUGGGACUGAGACACGGCCCAGACUCCUACGGGAGGCAGCAGUGGGGAAUUUUGGACAAUGGGGGCAACCCUGAUCCAGCAACGCCGCGUGAAUGAAGAAGGCCUUAGGGUUGUAAAGUUCUUUUGUCAGGGAAGAAAAGGCUUGUGCUAAUAUCACAAGCUGCUGACGGUACCUGAAGAAUAAGCACCGGCUAACUACGUGCCAGCAGCCGCGGUAAU